GGGGAGAGCAGCGCCCGCACGGCUAAUUGGGGACUCGGGGGACGUGCGCGUGCCAGCCAUCUGGAGGGGUCAGUACCGGCACGCGAAGCUCGGGAGCGAACGCCGCGUUGGUGUUGGAGAAACAUCAACCAAACUCUUAAGGCAGAGACUGCUUUCUUCAUGGCUAUUUCUCUUCCCCGAAGUCUGCUGGAUAGACACGAUGCUGUGUCAGCGUUUCGGGGGCUCGGGUACAUGAUGCAGCAGUUCCGCGGCCGCCGCCUGCCAGACCUGGCACCCUGCACAGCCUCUGUGGGUCUGGGCGGCAGCUCUCAGUCUCGUUUCUGGUGAGAUGCUGCCCAAAGCCAGCUGCCGUUAGCAACGCAUCUUGUCUCCCCGACAGCGUCCCGCGGCAGCGACGUCUUCCCGUGGCUUCAGUCUGUCCCUGCUCGAUGAGCCGUUCGGGCACGUGCUCAGGAUCUCUGGAUUUCAGGGGAUUUUGUGCCCGUCCGGGCCGGGUCGUAGAUGCUUUUAUGAAAGCAGAGCCACAGUUAAUCACACCGGCGAGCUCUCUGUGGACCGUCUGUCUGGCACAGGAGCGGGGUGAAGGUCACCCAGGCUCGACUCCCAGCCGUUGUGGGGCUGCACAGGGACCGAGCUCCGACUUUCCCCUCCUUCCAUUUAUUUACAUUUUCAUGGACAACCGAAGGAGGGAGGGAGGGAAGAAGGAUAGCGUGCGUUCGCUGCUGUUCACGGGUCCCAGCAGUCUCUUCAUUACCAUGCAACGAGCAGGGGCAAGUCAAGGCACCCCGCAUCAACACACACUCAAAGGCUUUGACCUCUGUUGGAGAUCACGGCUCACAGGGGGCCGGCAAUUGAUGAGCUGGUGUUUGACCUGAUUGAUGGAGACCUCCAUCACCCACCGCUUCCCGAGCCCGCUGCACCGCACAGACAGCUUUGGAGGGGAGCAGCAGCCUCCUCCCCUGAUGCGGCCGUGGCUGUCGGCAGAGCCCAGAAACCGCCCCCGGAUCCUGCACGGGAGGUUCCCGGGUACCAGCCACCCAACGUGCGUCCUCGCAGCACCGUCGCUUGCUGCCACACACGGGAUCAGGGCUGGAAAGCCGCUGCCACGCUGGAG